CGCCCGGAAGUGGCAACAAGACUGCAACAUCCCCUCACGCCUAGUCUGUAAAGAACUUUGUUUAACCCGGAGGCGGGGCCAGCCAGCUCCGCCCCUCCAGCUGGACGCGGGAGCGAGGUUGAGGUUCAUACCCCUGGGUUCUCUCCAGGCCUGAGGCGGAGAGCCAGCCGCCUGCCUACCUCUGGGCUUUGAACCCCGGGUCUGGUGACUUCGCUUAAAGACCUCGGGCCGAAGGCCCGCCAGGCUCAACCUCGGUUCACAGGACCCCCGACUUGUGUGAGUCGUACACCGCUCUUUACCGUCUCUGGACCUAGGUCAUCUCGGCAGUAAAAUGGGGUGAAAUGACCCGACCUCCCCGGAGGAUGCCGCGCACGAUGUGUGCCUCAAGUUGGCUUCCACUGACCUGAACUGUUAAGAAAGCCCUCCUCAGUGACGCCUUCCCUGAAUCCACAGUGGAGAUUGCCGUUUUCCUGGAACUAAUUCACCCACACUUACCCAUUUCAUCCCUUUCCACCUUUUAUUUCUACCUUUCUGCCCCACUGAUCUCUAGAAUAGGUGCUGGGAGACGUUAGAGUAUUUGAUCUCCCACUCCCCAGUCAUCCCACUUACCGAGCAGUAAUUCUCUGCCUGGCUGCACAUUGCAAUCACUUGGGAAGCCUCUAAAAAUACUGAUGCCAGGGCUCUACCCCAAGCCAGUUAAAAUCUCCAGCGCUGGACCUGGGCAUUGGUACUUUUUGUAAAGCUUUCAGGUGAGUCAGAGUUGAGGACCACUGACCAAAGAGGUCCUUUCUUUUCAGGGUAAAGUUGUCCUCUGUGAAGCCUUUCUGGCUCUGGAAAAAAUUUACAGUUGAGUAGGCCCAGGGCAAUCAAGAUCAUAAUUAUGUAAUAGGAACCUGCUUUCACUCAUCUAAGUUCCAGGCUUAGAAAGAAUGAAUGGUUCUAGAGACAGUGCCGAGAUGACAUCAUUCUUGGGUCCUGGCGGCUAGAACUGUAUACGAUUCUGUAAGUUGGGACAGCAGUCUCUGAUUCCUAUUCCCAGUCUUUUCUUUUUGAGACGGAGUUUCGCUCUUGUUGCCCAGGCUGGAGUGCAAUGGAGUGAUCUCAGUUCACCGCAACCUCGCCUACCUAAUUUUUAAACUUUUUGUAGAGGCAAAGUCUCCCUAUGUUGCCCACGCUGGUCUCAAACUCCUGGGUUCAAGUGAUUCUCCUGCCUUAGCCUCCCAAGUAGCUGGGAUUACAGGCAUGCGCCACCAUGUCCAGCUAAUUUUUGUAAUUUUCUGUUUUUAGUAGAGACGGGGUUUCACCAUGUUGGCCAGGCUGGUCUCGAACUCCC
rnacentral:lncRNA from 1 species